rnacentral:lncRNA from 1 species
CCCACCGGCCUCCUAUGGCUCCUCACGCUUGAUUAUUGAAGCCCCAUGACUUGACCACGAAGUUUCGAAUCUGGGCCUUUGGCGAUUCAAGUUCCACGGUCAUCUCCGGCUCAAAUCCGGCGUGUCCUAGUCUUAUGAGUCUAUCUUUUACUCGUUCGACUCAGACCAGCCCUUUUCCAGGUCUAUCUCACUUCUAGGGUAUUCUGAAACCCUAGCCCAUCCAGGUUUUUCCUAUGUUUCUCUAGAUCCACUAUAGAUCUAUGCUUGUUUUAAGGUUUUUAAAACAAUUUUCUUAAAAUCUCUUUCGAAGGUUUGCGUUCAAAACUAGUCGCCCUCUC